rnacentral:miRNA from 8 species
CAAAUACGUCUCUACAGGAAUA